GAGACACUACCCUGUUCGUGUUUCUAGAUGCAAUUGAGCCGUAAAUUUUUAUAAGGGAUCGGUCACUGGUAAUGGUGUGCAUGCCUUUUUUAAGGAAGCCUAAAGUUAUUAUCACUUUUCCCACCUGGAUUACCAGGUUCGAUGACAACUCUAUUACACGGCAGGGUGGUUUUCUU
rnacentral:other from 1 species